rnacentral:lncRNA from 14 species
GAUUGGGGGAUACACCAAGAACUCCAUAUGGAAUAGGCUGGGAAUAUCCAUUUACUCAUUGGAAUAUACACUGGGAAUGACCCCCCCCGGGGGGGCUGCCUCGAACCUGGGGGGGUUCUCAUCACAGCCAGCCCAGAUCCCAACAGUGGGAAUAGGAAGUGGGAAUUCCAUGGGAUAUGGAUCCCAGCAUCACUAUGGGGGAGCAGAUGGACCCACACACCCCCCACACACACAUCCCACACACUCCAUGGUCAAGGAGAAGCUUCCAAGAGUGGUGCCACCAGCUCCAACCUUCACCCCAUGGCUCCUAUGGGGAGGUUGAAGCCACCCCAUGGCCCCUAUGGGGAGGCUGAAACCCUCAAGGUCUUCUUGGGUACCUCCAACCUCCACCCCAUGGUUCCUAUGGGGAGGAUGAAGCCCUCAAGGUCUUCUUGGGGUGCUCCUGGGUGGCUUUAGGCCUUGCCUUGGUCAAGAAGAGGCUUCCAAGAGUGGUGCCACCAGCUCCAAUGUUCACCUAUGGGGAGGAUGAAGCCCUCGAGGUCUUCUUAGGUUCCUCCAAUGUUCACCCUAUGGGGAAGUUGAAGCCCCCAUGGUCUUGGGUACCUCCAAUGUUCACCCCAUGGAGAAGAUGUAGCCCUUAAGGUCUUAGUAUCUCCAACCUUCACCCUAUGGGGAAGAUGAAGCCCUCAAGGUCUUCUUAGUAUCUCCAACCUUCACCCUAUGGAGAAGACGAAGCCCUCGCGGUCUCCUUGGGGUGCUCCCAUGUGGGACGUGGGUUCUAUGGGGCGCUAUGGGGCGCUAAAGGCUGACGCUCCGAUGAUGCUUGCAGUGCCCUUGCCCACCCCGGUGCCGCCGGCGCUCGCGCUCCUCCAUCUCCUCACUAUUGAGGCUGGUGGCAUCAGAGAGCCCCAUGAGAUGCUCAACCGAGUCAAACUUCUGCAGGUCCGAGGCUAUGGUCUGGAGGCUCAGCACCGACAGAGUGUCCCCCGAGGCCCCUUCGACCCCUAAGUGGGUGCCAUGGGUGCCGUCGCCUUCGGUUAUGGGGUGCCGGGGACUCGCUUCGGCACCCACGGGUGACGCGCGGCGC